CUAUUUUAUACGUGGGACACCCACACAACAUGGCUUGAUAAGCGGUGUGCAGGUCCGCGCCAGGGAUCCGAACCGGCGAACUCCAGACUGCUGAAGUGGAGUGUGAACUUAACCACUGAGCCACUGGGCCAGCCUCAAAUUUAUUUUUAACUAUGUGUUGAACAAGAGGAAGAAGAGCAAGCCUGGCCUUUCUGGAUAAGGGAUGUGUAGCAGUUGGAUCCAAUCACUACCCACAGCCUCUUCACCAGGCGUAGAUUCCAUGCCAGGAAAUCACAUUCUGAGAGGUGACAUCAGCGACAUGGCAGAGUGAGCUCACCUGGGACCUCUCUCCCCUCCAAACUACAACCAAAAGGACCAACUGCUUUUCAAGCAAAAAAUCCUAAUAACAGAAACUGUCAGAGACCCACAGCAGCUGAACAAUGGAGGGCAGAGAGGCUGGAACUGCCCUUGGAGGAGCUGGAACAGGGUUCCACCACAUCUGCAGUUACUUCCUCCACUGAAGUCUUGAGCUCUUCAAAGUCAUCCAUGAGGGUUGGAAUCAACUUCUUCCAAACUCUUGUUAAUGUUGAUAUUUUGACCUCUUCCCAUGAAUCACAAAUGUUGAAUGCUGUCUACAAUGGUGAAUCCUUUCCAGAAGAUUUUCAAUUUAUUUUGCCCAGAUGUAUCAGAG
rnacentral:lncRNA from 1 species